GAAUUCCCUGAGAGCCACAGUCCCUCCCCUGGCAGUUAUUCCUCCCUCCCCCCCUCCGGGAAUAAAUCCGGGGAAAUCCUGCGUGAGGAAAGCGAACGGUGCUCGGCGGUUUCCCGGGAAAAGGGAGGGCGGUGGUGGGGUCAGGAGGGUGGGAAUGUGGUUGCUGAACGCCUGGAGGGGCGGGAUGGGAAGAGGGGGGAGGAUUUAAGGGGUUGUUCUGGGACCUCAAAAGCUUCAAACCCCAAAACCGGGAGUGAAAAUGGGUCAAAACUCCGAAUUCUUAAUGGAAAAAAGGGGGUUGGAGGGCUUGGGUUUGGAACUCGGAGUGGAAACUGUGGGGUCAGACCCCAAACAGUGGGGUUAGGUUUAGUUUCCAAACCCCAAACUCUAAAUGAAAACAGGGGGUUUAGGUUUUAUUUCCAAACCCCAAACUCUGAAUGAAAACAGGGGUUUGUGGAUCAAAUCCCAAAACUCUGAAUGAAAACAGGGGUUUGUACAUUUUAUUUUCAAUUUCCAAACUCCAAAUGCAAACAGUGGAUUUAGGUUUUAUUUCAAACCCUAAAACUCUAAAUACAAACUGUGGAUUGAGGUUUUAUUUCCAAACCCCAAACUCCAAAUAAUGACAGUGGAUUUAGGUUUUAUUUCCAACCCUAAAACUCUAAAUACAAACUGUGGAUUGAGGUUUUAUUUCCAAACCCCAAACUCCAAAUAAUAACAGUGGAUUUAGGUUUUAUUUCCAAACCCCAAACUC